ACUCAGCAUGCACCUGUAGUCCCAGUUACUAAGGAGGUCAAGGCAAGGAGGAUCACUUGAGCCCAGAAGUUCUGGGCCGUAGUGUGCUAUGCCGAUUGAGUGUCCAUACUAAGUUCAGCAUUAAUAUGGUGACCUCCUGGGAGUGGGUGGACCACUGGGUUGCCUAAGGAGGAGUGAACCCGCCCAGGUUAGAAUUGGAGCAGGUCAAAAGCCUCGUGCUGAUCAGUAGCGGGAUUGCACCUAUGAAUAGCCAAGGCACUCCAGCCUGGGUAGCAUAGAGAGAUUUCGUCUUU
rnacentral:SRP_RNA from 1 species